UACAGAAGCAUAGAUUUCCACAAACCAUUCGAGGUGUUUGUGCAAAUCUUUCGCGACUGUAGG
rfam:Caenorhabditis elegans chromosome X